AUGAUGGCAGGAGACCUUCCGAUGGGGGCCCUGACUGCCCAAAUCCUGCAGGAGAGGUCACAGAGACCAGAAGUUGCAUGUUCAGUCCCUGAGCCCUGCAAGGCUAGAAGUGGUGUGCAACCCCUAAGCACACUGUCAGAGAGUAAUCUGGACCAACCCAGGAAGCCUGGGUUGAGGCUGUGCUCCUGCCUCUAAGGAAAUGUGCGCCUGGGACCUGCUUACCCGACGACGCAGCAACUCUGGGCUCCAGCUUGUCUGUAUCUCCUUUCCUCCCUCCCUUCCUUACAGACUUAUUACAAGGCUACAAAAACCCUGUUAUAAGGAUUGUCAAGAACUUUUGUAAAUGGACCAUGAAAAAGAGAUUUAAAGAGGUUCACCUGCCUUUCUGUACCAAAGGUUAAAACUCAAGAAGGUCUGUCUUUUUUUCUCCAACACUGUUUGACACAAUAGUCUGUUUGAUGCCUCCACUUAAAAAUCAGACACAAAAUCUUUAUGAGGACUUAUCACCUUCUCCCUCUCCAUUUUUGCUUACCUCUUAAGGCUCACCCCCUUGAAAAAAGUCUUUUUUUUUUAUACUCACCCUACAGCAGUCUCCUUCCUUC
rnacentral:lncRNA from 12 species